rnacentral:rRNA from 1 species
UGGUUGAUCCCGCCGGACCUGACUGCUAUCGGAUUGAUACUAAGCCAUGCGAGUCUUUGUAGUAAUACAAGGCAGACGGCUCAGUAACACGUAGUCAACCUACCCUAUGGACGAGAAUAAUCUCGGGAAACUGAGCAUAAUUCUUGAUAGAUCAUAAUGCCUGGAAUGGUUUAUGGUUAAAAUGAUUCGUCGCCAUAGGAUGGGACUGCGGCCUAUCAGCUUGUUGGUGAGGUAAUGGCCCACCAAGGCGAUUACAGGUACGGGCUCUGAGAGGAGAAGCCCGGAGAUGGGUACUGAGACACGGACCCAGGCCCUAUGGGGCGCAGCAGGCGAGAAAACUUUGCAAUGUGCGAAAGCACGACAAGGUUAAUCCGAGUGAUUUCUGCUAAAGAAAUCUUUUGCCAGUCGUAAAACCGCUGAUGAAUAAGGGGUGGGCAAGUUCUGGUGCCAGCAGCCGCGGUAAU